rnacentral:rRNA from 1 species
UACAGAGGUCCCAAGCGUUGUUCGGAUUUACUGGGCGUAAAGAGCGCGCAGGCGGUCGUACAAGUCGCGUGUGAAAGCCCCCGGCUCAACUGGGGAGGGUCACGCGAUACUGUUCGACUCGAAGGCAGGAGAGGGAAGCGGAAUUCCCGGUGUAGUGGUGAAAUGCGUAGAUAUCGGGAGGAACACCAGUGGCGAAGGCGGCUUCCUGGCCUGUUCUUGACGCUGAGGCGCGAAAGCUAGGGUAGCAAACGGG